rnacentral:rRNA from 1 species
AUACGGAGGGUGCAAGCGUUAAUCGGAAUUACUGGGCGUAAAGGGUGCGUAGGCGGCUUGAUAAGUCGGAUGUGAAAGCCCCGGGCUUAACCUGGGAAUUGCAUUCGAUACUGUCAGGCUAGAGUAUGUCAGAGGUUGGCGGAAUUCCUGGUGUAGCGGUGAAAUGCGUAGAUAUCAGGAGGAACACCAGUGGCGAAGGCGGCUAACUGGGGCAAUACUGACGCUGAGGCACGAAAGCGUGGGGAGCAAACAGGAUUAGAUACCCUAGUAGUCC